AGGAUCAACGCUGGCGGCGUGCCUAACGCAUGUAAGUCGAACGCACGCUCUUCGGAGCGUGAGUGGCGAACGGCUGAGGAACACGUACGAACCUGCCCUCCCGUGGGGAAUAACGCCGCGAAAGCGGUGCUAAUACCGCGUACGCUCGCGCUUCGGCGUGAGGAAAGUCUUCGGAUGCGGGAGGAGGGGCGUGCGGCCCAUCAGGUUGUUGGUGGGGUAACGGCCUACCAAGCCAUUGACGGGUAGCUGGUCUGUGAGGACGAUCAGCCAGACUGGGACUGCGAAACGGCCCAGACACCUACGGGUGGCAGCAGCGAGGAAUCUUCCACAAUGGGCGCAAGCCCGAUGGAGCAACGCCGCGUGGAGGACGACGGGCCUUCGGGUUGUAAACUCCUUUCGGGGGGGAGGAUACGGACAGUACCCCCAAAAGCAGCCCCGGCUAACUCUGUGCCAGCAGCCGC
rnacentral:rRNA from 1 species